CAGGUCAAUAUUCCUGUACCGAUGUGUAGUGCGAUGUGGGGACGGAGAAGGUUAGCUCAGCCAACUGUUGGACAUGUUGGUUCAAGCCUGUAGUCGUGCCUGGUAGGCAAAUCCGCCGGGCUAAGAUGAGGGGUGAUAACGAGGAAGCUUGCUUCCGAAGUGAGUGAUACCCUGCUUCCAGGAAAAGCCACUAAGCUUCAGCUGCACACGACCGUACCGCAAACCGACACUGGUGCGCGAGAUGAGUAUUCUAAGGCGCUUGAGAGAACUGCGGAGAAGGAACUCGGCAAAUUGAUACCGUAACUUCGGGAGAAGGUAUGCCCUAAGUAAGUGAAGUUGUACAAAUGGAGCUGAACAGGGUUGCAAAAAAUCGGUGGCUGCGACUGUUUAAUAAAAACACAGCACUCUGCAAACACGAAAGUAGGACGUAUAGGGUGU
rnacentral:rRNA from 1 species